rnacentral:rRNA from 1 species
UACGUAGGGUGCAAGCGUUGUCCGGAAUUAUUGGGCGUAAAGAGCUCGUAGGCGGUUUGUCGCGUCUGCUGUGAAAACUGGAGGCUCAACCUCCAGCCUGCAGUGGGUACGGGCAAACUAGAGUGCGGUAGGGGAGAUUGGAAUUCCUGGUGUAGCGGUGGAAUGCGCAGAUAUCGGGAGGAACACCGAUGGCGAAGGCAGAUCUCUGGGCCGUAACUGACGCUGAGGAGCGAAAGCGUGGGGAGCGAACAGG